GUGCUUGCUUCUGCAGCACAUAUACUAAAAUUGAAAGAUACAAAGAUGAUUAGCAUGGCCCCUGAGCAAGGAUGACAUGCAAAUAACAAUUUAAAAAUAAAA